GUAUAUAAGUGCAAACAAACCCGUUUUUAUAGUUAGCAUGGCAUUUUGAAUGAAGCUUUAAGCCUAAAGGACACUCUCCUACUUGCAGAUGAAGAUGGGGAAUGUAACAGUAAGUACUGUUUUUAUAUAUAGAAGUCUAAUAUGGGAAAUUAUGAACCUAAAUCAAAUUAAACCUGAAUUUUUCCUUCCCCAUAAAAAUUGGAAAACCUUGCCUUCCCUUAUCUAAAAUAUUGUUUUUCUUUCAGUUCCAUUAACUUGCUUUGGAUUCAUGGAAAUUCUGAACAGAGAUGUGAGAAUGACUACAAUUUGAGGUAUCUGUUAAAUACAGCAACAUGACAUCACAAGGUAUAAUCUCAUUCCUUGCAUUAUAUAAAAAAAAAAGUUCUGCAGAGAAUCGAUAAAUACAUGCAUAUCUGGGAAUUUGAAUCAGUUAAAAAUAGGCAGGUAAUAGAUAUGGAAAUGGAAAUUUGGAGAAUUUUUUUAAAGGCUAAUUUUAUUCUAACGCAGCGGAACAUUUUCUUUCAUGUAUUUUUUUCCCCAAUUUCUAGAACAUUCACCUCAUUAAGGUGUCACAAAAAGUGACAAUAUAAACAGUUUCCCACACAUCUCCUGUAGGUUGUGCUAAGGGCUAUAAAAAUGUUAUAUUCUGACAAUUUCACAGAUCUCAUAAGAUUAGGUCAAAAGAUUUUUACUCAGUAGAGAAAUUUCUACAGAGAACAACUAGGUGAUGUUUUCUCUAAAUCCUAACAUGUUCAGUAAGAUACAAGGAAGUAUUUUAUCUCAAUAUAAAAUAGUAUCUUAUUAGUGAAAGAAAAUGUGGAGGAUAAUUUCUUGUUAAUCUAAGAUGGUUUACUGAACAUUCUACCUAGAGAACUCCAUUUUUUUUACCAGAUAGUUCCUAUAAGUAACUUCCAGCUCUGUGAUUCUACAAUUUGUGACAAUUUCUCUUAGGUAAGUGUCAUCUGGUAAGAGUAGACAGCCAGCUAAUAGGCCCUGGACCAAGCUAUGGUUAUGCAUUGGAAACAGGAAUGGAAUGAAGAGAGAACAAGAAUAACUUUUCAGUGAAUAAUUUUGAGUGAACUGGGUUGCAGAUUUUUAACUGAUUCCCUUCUCAUUGUUAAAUGUUUCAGAUUCUCCCUGAGAACUGUAGCCAGGACUCAGAAAUGACUGACAUACUAACAGAAUUUCAUGUCAUUUGACUUCAGAGUGGGUCAUAGGCUAUGGAGAACUACAAUAAUUCUUUCAGACUCUGAGAGGCCAUCUCAUAAAUAUCUAUUUCAGUGCUCUAAAAUGAUUAAAUGACAUCAUGAUGACCUAGUUUAAGGAAAAUGUUACAUGAGGGCCCUAAAUGGCACCCUGGUGGUCUGAAAGAGUUAAUGCAGUUUCCUUAAGUGGCCAACUCAGAGAUAGUUUGCAAUGAACAGAGCAGGGAAUGUGUCCCAAUAACUCACUGAUAGCUUCAUCUAAUAUAAGUAUAUUAAGUUGAGAGAAGUCAUUUGAAGGAGUCUAUAAUAGAGCAGGUGGUAAUUUUGACUAAUACAACAGCUCUGCUAAGGAAGGAAAGAAUGAGCCUAUGGAAAUUCAAUAACCCUAUGGAGAAACAUUGAGGAGAUGUUCCUCUUAAAGAGUAUCUCAAGAGAUCAUGAUGCAUCAACAUAUAUUAUGUUCUUCGAAUUACAGCUGAGCUUUCUGUGUAGCACACUGUGAGAGCAAAUAAUAUUUGUACUUUAAUAGCAGAGAGUGUGAGCCUAGGAGAAUGUCUUUCUAAUUUUUCAGUGUCUUCAAUGUCGUAGAACUAUAAUACAUCAGAACAGCAGAUAGCAAUUAGAAACUAAUCUAUUCUUAUAUUACAAGAAUGUCCUUACUACAAAGUUAUAAAAAAUGUAACCAUUUUAUAUGAGGUUUAACAUUGUUAGAGCAAAUUCUACAAUCAAGUUGGGCAUAGAAUAAGGUGAGAAAAUGCGACAGAGAAAUAGCCGAUAAGCUCAAGAAAGGUAAUUUUUAGCUUACAGGUGGUGAACACAUUUUGACAUGCAAAAAUAAUUUGGUUAAAUGCAUCAAUUGAUAGAAGCGUAGAAACAUGGAGCAAAAGGAAGUAAUAACUAAUCUUUUAUUCAGCUUAAAAUUACCAAUGUAAAAGCAUAUACAUGUCAAUACAUAUGUAUAUAUGUGAAGCCUAGAAAUGGCCCAAGGAGAAGCAUAUUUAAAUAUAUAAAACAGAAAUUUAUUAUAUGGCAUAGGAGACCUUUCAAAUCUUUGAGCAAGGCAAGGAUUCUGGAAGUCACUGUAAAUUAAAAAUUAAUUGUGAAGAGAAUAGAUUCUUGGGUCAUACCUCUUAGUUCUAAUUUUAGCUCUUCUGUUUAAUAGCUGUAUUACCUUGAGCAAAUCACUUAACUGCUCUUCACCUUCUUUGUCUGAAAGUUGAGGAGCAUAACACUACCUACCCUGUUGGGUUGUAAGAAUUAACAGAUAAUAAAUACAAAGCAUUUGGCAGAGUGUCUGGCUCAUAGUAAACCCCCAUGAAUGCUAGUCCUUAUUAUUAUUAUUCAAUAAAUGGCUAACCAUUUAGAAAACACCAGAUAGCUCCCCUCUCAUAACUAUCAAAAAUAAAAUCGGGUGGAUUAAAGUGUUAAAUUUUAAAAGUAGAAAAGACUGUAUAUCUGUAUAUCUGAAAUACUGAUAAUCUAGUAUUAAGGGAAAGCAGGAAACACAAAGCCUUAGGUCUAUAGAAUGCUGCUUAACUCUUAAACUUCUAAUGGGAAAAAUAUUUAUAAAAAUAAAAGACACAUGACAAAAUGGAAAACAUAAUACAAAGCGUUAUCAUAAUUUAUAUAGAGAGCUAACUUGCUAUCAAUUUUUUUAUAAUUUAUCAAGUAGGUAAUAAACAUAAACAGAUGGUAUAUAUUGUAACUUCACUUCUCUUUCUAACCUCUGAGAUUUAUCAAACUCUUAGUAACUUUUUCUCCACAUGAAGGAAACAACUUAAAUGUUACAUCAGCAGGAAGAUCUUUUCUGUUCAAUCUAAAUUAGAUCUCCCUAUAUUUCUUUCUCAUGGUAUCCCCCCCUUUUAUCAUGGUUCCUGUUGGUCUUUAUCAUAUGUUUAUGUGUGUGGGUUUCUUCUCCUUUUCUCUCACUAGACAAUAGAGGGAUAGACCAUAGAGUAUUUGCCACUCUAUGGGAAGCCCAUAGCAUAUAGCAGACAUUUGAAGUAAUGAAAGUGAAUAUCAUAAAAGGUCUUGUACACCAUGUUAAGGCAUUUAGCCUUUAUAGCUAAGAAAGUCAUACAAGAAUUUUAAGCAGGAUAAAUCCUUCUUGGGCUUUAGUGAAGGGUGGGUGGGGAAUGAACUGGAAGGGAACAUGACUGGAAGCCAGGUGGUGGAUUUGAAAAGGAAUUGAAACAAUCCAAGAAAUUAUGAAGAUCUAAACUAAGGAAGUUUAAUGGAAAUAGAAAGAAGAGAAAUGGUUCCAAAUAUAUUUAAAAUUAGACUAUUUUAACUGAAGCAGAGUACAUAUAGGGAAAUAAUGAGAAUGAAAUUUGAUUUUGGAUUUUAGGCCAGACUGUAAACCUCUAAUCCUCUAUCAAGACAUUUGUAAUUCUUUAAGGAGUAAAAAGUCAAUGAAGAAUUUGAAAAUAGGGGUUUUGUUUUUGUUCUUGUUUUUCUUUUUGUUUGUGUGUAUGUUUAAUCCAUCUUAAUUGGCAGUACUAGGUUAUUGGGACAUAUGGAAUGACUUCUAGGACCAAACGCAAGUUGAAUAUUUAGUUUUAUGAAUCAAUACUCUAACUCAGUCGUAAAUCUUUAGAUUCAAGGUCAUCUCAAUGAAGAAAUUUUGGGAUCCUGGCAAUUAUUGUCAAAUGAACUUCCUUUAUCAUUAUCACCACCACCGUCAUUAUCAUCACCACCACCACAAUCAUUAAUAAUGGCAGCAAGGCCAGCAGCAACAUCAGCAAACAUUUAUUGAGCAAUUAUUCUGCAUAAGGCUCUACAGUUUGUGCUUGAGUACACUGAAAUCUGACACACUCCCUGACAUCAAAGAGGGUGGAGUCUGGGCAUUAAAAUACCCUAGCCAUGUAGAGUAGCAUGUGAUAAAAUGAGUUAUAGGAAAGUAAUUGCUGCUGGAGUUCAAAUAAGAGACAGUUGACCGUAGUUGAAAAGUCUUUAGGAAAAGCUACAUGGAGGAGGUGAGACUUGAAUAGACCUUCAAGGAAGGAACAAAUUAAGAUAAAUAUAGAGGAAGGGCAACUACUCAGACAGCCUUGUAAGAGCAAGAGUGGAGGUGGAGUUCCCACAUCUGUUUCCAGGACAAGCAGACAAGUGGACAAAUGCUUUGACUAAAGCAUCAAGUUCAUAAAAAGAAGUGAGGGAAGUGUUCAGAGAAUUGGAUGGAAACAGAUUGUAAGGUGUCUUUGAUGUCAAACUAAUGAUGGUUUAUUUUGAACAGACUUAUGAUCACUUAUUUCGAGGAAAGUGGAGAAUCACUUACAAGUUUUGAGCAAAGUAGCUACUUGUGAAAAAAGUUGGUUUUUAGGGUUUUUAGAGGAUGAAUCUAAUGAGCGUGUUCUGAGUAAAUCUUAGAGGUGAAAAUUCACGUUGAUAACACUAGUUACUAUAGCAAUAUUUUAGGAAAAGAAAAUGAGCAGCUGAUGUGAGACUGGAGAAGGAGAAAAUAUAUGAGAUUUUUUCUUUCAUUUCAUCAUGAAAAAUUAGAAAAUAAAAAAGUAUAUGGAAUAAUGUAACAAGCCCCCAUAUAUUCACCAACCAACUUCAAAAGUAAUCAUUUCAUGACUACUCUUUUUUAACUCUCUUCGACCUACAUCUUUAACUCUAAGUUUUUUGAAGUCAAUCAUCAAUACCUUUAAUUUAUAUAUAUUUGAGUUUGAAUUUCUAAAAGAUAAAGACUCAUUAGUGAACAUAGGCAUAUACUAUUACCAUAUCUAAUAUAUUAACAAUUUUAACAAUCCCAAGUAUGUAGUCAGUAGUUAAGUUUCUAUAAUUUUUGUAUGAAAUUUUGUAUAAGUCCUUUCUUUGAAUAAUAUCCAAAUAAGGUCCAUUCAUUGUAUGUAAUUGGUUAAUGAAGUUUCUUAAAUAUUUUUAAUCUUUAAUUUCACCUUGUAUCUCUUUUUUGAUCUUGAAACGCAUUAAAGUGACAGAGACAAUAUUUGCUAAUUUCAUAUUCAUGGUAAUAUUUAUAAUGUUCUUCUGUCUCCUGUAUUCCCCACAAAAUGGUGAUUAAAUUAAAAAACUUGAUCAGAUUUAGACUUUUUUUUUUUUUUUUGGCAAGAAUCGCUUAUAGGUUGUGCUGUGUACUAUCAGCGGGCAUAUAAUAUUUGCUUGCUUUUUGUUUGUGUGUGCUAUAGGAACUGUUUCCAGUGGGUUUCUUUCUUUAUUUCAAAAGAAAUAAAAUAAACUCAUGUUAAAAUAUAUUUGAUGCAUUUCAAUCUAUUGCAAUUAUCUUUAUUAAUGUUCAAAUUUGUCCUAUCUUUGCUGAAUUGGGAACCUCCUUAGGUUGACUUCUGUAUCUUUUUGAUACAAUCCUGGUAGGCUUUAAGAGCUUUCUAACUCCUUUAUAUGGCGAGAUGUCUCAAGAUCAUCUUUUAAAUUUUCUAUCCAACACUCAGAAUCACCCAUUCUCCUAGAAGACAUUAUUGUGUGUGUUGUGAAAUGGUAAAGACCACAAAUGGGUGCUAAGAGUGCUCAGUGUUUUACAGUCAGUCAUUGUUUUUUCAUAUUUUAGAGCACAAGUCUAAGAAGCAUGUAUUUUUUAAGGAUAAAGUUUGUGAGUUUGCAUAAUUGAUAUUUAUUGUGAGUUCUAAUUCAAAUUCAGGUGUAUGUGAUUAUUACCUAACCUUAUUGAUUUUACAUUUGGUUCCUAUUUCUCUCAUGCCAACACUUCUGGUUUUCCAUGGUAAUCAUAUAUAAAAUGUCAUUUGUGGGGCAUCUGGAUGGCUCAGUUGGUUAAGCGUCCAACUUCAGCUCAGAUUGUGAUCUCGUGGUUCAUGGGCUAGAGCCUGGCGUCGGGCUCUGUGCUGACAGCUCGAAGCCCAGAGCCUGCUUUAGAUUCUAUGUCUCACUCUCUCUCUGCCCCUCCCCCACUGAUUUUUUUUUCUCUCUCUCUCUCUUUCUCUCUCUCUCAAAAAUACAUCAACAUUAAAAAUUAAAAACAAAAACAAAAACCUCCAUUUGCUUUUUCCCUCACUGCAAAGGUAACAGUCUUAUAGUUGCACUACUUAAUAUAUAUCCUCAAAUGUAAGUCCUCAAAAUGUAUAGUUAUUAUUUCAAACUUUGUUUUUUUUGACCUCAGAAUAUAUUAAACUAAGGAUAUACAGUCACAAUAUAUAUCCUUAAAAUGUAGGAUUUGUUAUUUUUUCAGGCUUUAUUGUUUUGUACCCCAGAAUGUAUUUAACUAAGAAUAUACAGUCUACUUGUGUUUUAAAGUCACUGUAAAUAUUUUCUUUUUUUUUUUUUUUUAUGUGAUGUCACUUUGUUUCUCCAUGCAUGGAUUCCAUACUGUUUUAACUACAGAAGCUUUAUAAUGUGUGCCAAUUCCUUCUAGGGAAAGGUUAUUCUCAUUCUUCUCUUUUUUAGAGUUAUCUUUUGUUUCAGACUUAUUGCUACCUUUUUUGUUUUGUUAUGUUUUUCAACUGAGUUCUCUUUAGCUUUAAGGAAAAUAAAACCCUAAUGAUAUUUUAUUGUGUUGACAUAUUUAUGUUAAGUCUUUCCUCCAAAGAACAUAGUAUGUCUUUUCAUUCAUUUUCUUCUACUUUUGUGUCUUUCAGGAUUGUUUUUGAGUCUUCUGAAUGAGAGAUAAUAAAAUGGUGAAAUCUUAGGACUGGAAUAUCAAGGAAGAAAUAGAGACAACCAUGGUUUCCAGACUCUUUUAUUGGAGAAUAAUUCAUUUGUUGGUUUGUUUGACAGAAAUGGGAUUAUUUGAAGAGAUCAGCACAAGGAAUAAUGGUGAGUUUUCAUUGUAGUACCAGAUCUGAGUUCUGUCUAAGCUUUAGUGGCAACCAAAUAUAUCAAUCAAAUUUAUAUAGGAAUAAAUAUUAUUAAAAUAAAUUAAAAUGGAUCUUUGAGAGAGUAAAUCACAUGAGCUAGUUAUUCAACCUACUUAGUCACAUGACAUGAAAAAAAAUGUUCCUCUUAGACCUGUGUAGUUCCAUGCAAAAUUGUAGAGAAGAUUUUCCUCUACUGUCUUUUCACAUGUUUCUUACACUGUAGCAUCCACCCUCUUUGCAACUCCCUUACCCCUACAGCCACCACCCCAUCCUGGAUUUGAAUGUCUAUAUCAUACUGUAGUCCUUCAAACACCUACUCUGUCAUAAAUCAGGGUCCUAUACUGGACUCUUCCCUACCUCUGUCAUCCCCCAUAUCUACUGCCUACCAAAUCCUAUUGAGUAUACCUCCAAAAAAAAAAAAAGCCAAACAAGGAGACUGAGUCUACCUCCUUAAAAGCUCUUGAAAAAUGUCUUACUCCUCUCCAUUAUCAUUAUCUGUGUCGUUGCCUUACCCAGAACAUCAUUUUCUUACCAAUUAUUGUGAGAUCAACUACUCAUUACUCAUUUUGCUUCAUUUAUCCUCAUUUCCUCUCUUAUGUGACUGCCUGUGGCAAUAUUUAUCCGAUUUAUAUCUUUAAGCCAUUUUUUGUACUGUUAUCUGAGUCAUCUUUAAAACUAGAAGUUAAUUACUUCUAUGACCCCCAUUGUUUAAGCAAAUUCCCAAUGUAUAUUCUAGAAAAUGUCAACGGGUCCCAUAGCAAAUACCACAUAUUAUAUUCUUAAGAGAAUUAGGGGGUAAGUUGACUAUAAAGAACCCCUUCUAGGCACCUGGGUGGCUCAGUUGGUUAAGUGUCUGACUUCGGCUCAGGUCAUGAUUUUGCAGUUCCUGGGUUUGAGCCCCAGGCUCUGACAGAGCCUUGAUCCUGCUUCAGAUUCUGUGUUUUUUCUCUCUCUGCCCCUCCCUUACUCAUGGCCUAUCUGUCUGUCUGUCUGUCUCUCUCUCUCUCCCUGAAAAAUAAAUAAAUAUUUUAAAAAUUGCCCCUUCUAGCAAAGAAAUCUGUUCAAAUGUGAUCAAUUUUAUGGCCUGAAUUCAUGUGAUUAUGGAUUAUUUUAAAUACACAUCAAUUUUUUAUCAAUCAGUUGUUCUGAAAACCUGCUUUAGGAUAUACUAAUGUAAAGAAUAAAGUUCAAAUUUCAUUAUCAUGAAUGACUUUAGUAUUGCUGUGGCUUCAGCUUCCAUAGCUCCUUCUUAUUCCUAAUAUUCCAUCAAGGAUAUAGCAUUGCACAACACCAGUGCACAGUUUAUACUCACUUAUGUGCAAUGUUGGCAGCUCUCCUAAAUUUGCCAUCCUAAUUGAUCUGUCUGUAUUUUUGUGUAUGCAGCACCAUUUUCCACAUUCAUUUUGAUCCCAUCAUCAUCCUAAUAAUUCCCACUCAUCCUUCAAAAGCCAGUUUAGAUGUCACCUCCUCAGUGCUAGUGUGAACAUCAUCUACACAGAGAAAAAGCAGAAGAGGUAUGAUGACUCAAAGAAUAAAUACAAAGUGAGACAAAAGCCGAAAACAUACCUUCAGCAAUGUCUCUAUUUAGUAACAUGUCCAUCUUCUUUAGGAAGACACCCAUGAAGGAGAUAGAGAAGGAAUUUUUAGAGUUACAGAAUGAAAAGCACUGGGAAUUUUGUUCCACUGGCCAGUUAAAGUGAAAAAUUAUUAAUAGGAAGGCUCAAAUACUACAGAGUUGUAAAUAGGAGAAAGGAGAAAACUAAGAAGAUACAGAGUCUUAUAGAUAAUUUUAAUGAAAUAGUUUGAGGAGGGUUAUUGAAUAUUGCUAGAUAACCACGGUCCUUUACCCCCUAUGCUCAUACUCCAGAAAUACUCAGAGGACUUGAAACUCCAUUCACCAGCACAAAAUACACACACACACACACACACACACACACACACACACACACACAUGCUUUCAUAUUGGGAAAACCAGUUGGAAUAGAUUGACAGCUUGGGAUGAAGUUAAAGAAAAGAUGAUAAAGGAUCCUGGGGUAGAGGGCAUUGAGGAAGCAUGGCAAAUGAGAAGGAAGCUGUUAGAAAAGAGACUUCCUCAUGUUUCUCCUUGGAAGAGACGGGAGUUCCUGCUAAAGGGGAAAGUAAAGAACUUUUGUUCACCAUUCUCUGUAUUUGAUGUGUACUUGAUUGUCUAAUAGGGACAAAUUUUCCACAAUUUCAAAUGUGAAAGGGAUAACAAAAGAGUUAUAAAAGGAAGAAGAUAGUGCUAUAGCUUGGAAAGAAAGUAGAAUUGAGGAAAGAUUUUGCUAGCCUGAAGGAGGGAGACAGGAGAAAGUAACAUGCUACACAGGCCAUAGAAAGGAAAGAAUUAAUGGAGCAGAGUACUAGAAGAAGGUAUCUGUAUAUUUGUACGUAUGCGGUAUGUGCAUAUGUGGUGUGUGCGGGUAUGUGUGCGAUGUGAUGUGGAUGAGGAAGGGAUUAGAUAAUGGUAGUAUGGUAACAUUUUUAUUUCACAUUCAGUUCUUUGAGCAAUAACCCAGCCUUAUAAACCCUUAAUGUUUGAUACCCCUAUACACUUCUCCCAUGCACUGAUCAAGAAUGUUACCUUCUCACUAUAACAUUAUGCGGGUCUCAUUUUACAUGUAUUACCACAAAUAUUAUUUUAAGAAUCUUAUGUUAUAGCUCUGUGAACAUUUCAAGAGAAAGCGAUUUUAGGAUUAAAUAGGGAAGGAAAAUAAAUGUGGCUUUUUUAUCUUAUGUAUAGAAAACUCACAUUAAUAUUCUCCCUUGACAUAGAACUAGCCAUAUAUGCUUUUGGUUGUUCUUUUUUGUUCUCAGUAUACUGGCAACAUGGAAUACAUUUUAGAGGUUAGACCACUUAGGGAAUACAUAGGGAAACUUUGAGCAAAAUAAAUCUGCUAGAUAUUUCUGUACUGUUUUCAUAAUUUAAUGUUACUGAAGUCAGUCCUCAAGGAGAGAGAAGAAUCACAUAUUUCUUUUUCUUUUUGGAAUGAUCACAACAUUAUUUAACCAGAAGAGAAUUUUUAAUUUAUUCCACAAAAUCUUUAAGAAAGGAGUGGGACUGGUUCACGAUCUAUGAAAUAAAGGUAGAAUAGAAGUAAUAGGAGGCCUCCUCGGUACAUUGUCACUCAAGCAUUCACAAGUUUUAUCCUGCCUGGAACAUUCCUUACACGUGAUUCUUAUUUCUUAGCUUCAAACUACACCUAGGAGGAAUCUUUUGUUCUCAGUACUGCCAAAGCUCCCAUCUUCCAGCAGUGACCUCAGUUUAGCACCUGUUCAUAAGAUGUGUUUGCACAUUGUUGGUACGUUUUGGUGACAUGUAUGUUCCCAUCAAGGAGACUGUCAUAGAAUUCAGAAGAUGUUAACAUUUUUUCCAUCUGUGUGUGAAAGUGACGUUUCCUGUUAAUUUUGUUCUUUUGCUGAACUCUCCAAGCAAAAGCCUUCUGUGGGAGGCAGGAUGAUGUCAUUAUAGUCAUAGCAUAAAAUUUUCAACCUUUAGAAUGAGACAUAUUGUGGCAUAUAUUUCACUACUUUUAAAAGCAGUGAAAUAAAAACUUGGAUGAUGAUGAUAUCAAUUUUAUAUUUUCAAGUGUGGGGGUUUCCAGAGCCUUGAGAAUGACUCCAGGGCUAAAAUUUCCUCUGGCACAUGGAUUU
rnacentral:lncRNA from 1 species